AUUGAACGCUGGCGGCAGGCCUAACACAUGCAAGUCGAACGAGUGGCGGACGUGAUACUUAUGUAUGGGCCACUGCCCGAUGGAGGGGGUUCACUACUGGACACUGUAGCUAAUACCGCCUACCUUCGCCUGUGCCCAGAUGGGAUUAGCUAGUAGGUGGGGUAACGGCUCACCAAGGCGACGAUCCGUAGCUGGUCUGUGAGGAUGACCAGCCACACUGGAACUGAGAAACGGUCCAGACUCCGACGGGAGGCAGCAGGGGGGAAUAUUGCACAAUGGGCGCAAGCCUGAUGCAGCCAUGCCGCGUGUGUGAAGAAGGCCUUCGGGUGGUAAAGUACUUUCAGUGAGGAGGCGUUACCCGCAGAAGAAGCACCGGCUAACUCCGUGCCAGCAGCCGCGGUAAUUC
rnacentral:rRNA from 1 species